rnacentral:lncRNA from 1 species
UUCCUUGACUAAUAAACAGCUGGUUUCUGUAGUUAUGUUAGCUAAUGAAUUUUGUGGAGGGGUCAAUGUUUAAAUGGAGCAAGAUGUGAGAGAAGUACUAGGAAUAGGUUAGGCUUUUGGAAAGAAAAAGAAAUUUAAUUAGAAAGAAGGAGAGUAGAAGAGAAGUGGAGGGCUGUAGGUGUAUUGUAGAAUGCUAUAUAGUUCUUCGUUAAGAAGGGCGAUAAGAAAGGGUUAUUUAGUAUUGGGUGGGCCCUAUGGUGGUAGAUAAAAUAAUUUAGAUUUUUGAAGGGUAUGGUACUAGGUUGCAAUAGAAAAAGGUUGGCAAUUAAUAAUUUAUAUUUUAAUAUUCGAGUGGAGUUUCUUUAGGUAUUUUACAUAAAGGUUUAAAUCAAUGAAGCUUUAUAUAUUGGGUGAGAGAGUUGUUUUCGUUGCAGAGGGAUAAAGGUUCUUCUUUGUGUUUUUAGUUUUAAACGUGGACUAUAUAUUAAGUGUUUAU